UACGUAGGGAGCAAGCGUUGUCCGGAAUCAUUGGGCGUAAAGCGCGCGUAGGUGGCCAUUUAAGUCCGCUGUGAAAGUCAAAGGCUCAACCUUUGAAAGCCGGUGGAUACUGGGUGGCUAGAGUACGGAAGAGGCGAGUGGAAUUCCUGGUGUAGCGGUGGAAUGCGCAGAUAUCAGGAGGAACACCAAUAGCGAAGGCGGCACUCUGGGGCCGGUACUGACGCUGAGGAGCGA
rnacentral:rRNA from 1 species